CUUUCCUAUAAUUCGAUAGGAUUCAAAGCAAUAACUCCCAGCAGUGCCCCCUUCCCCUUAAUAGGCUUCCCACAAAUAGCUAGGACAAACCACACGGUUGGAAAUAGCAAACAAAGUGUUCCACAAAUGCUGAGACUGCUUCACUUAAAAUGUGCGAAUUUGUUUGCAUUGGCAUCACGUGCGCCUGGGAAUAUGCAUAAUUGAAUUUUAUAACCCGUAAAGCUGUUAUUGCUGUAGAUACGCUCGUAUAUGGUAAGAAGCUGGGAUUGCCUGCAUUCUGCAGAUUCGAAUUUGCAAAUUGUCAGCUCAAGCAUUUUUGCCAGACUUCCUUCACACAACGUACCGGGAUUCUCCUUAAUCUCUGUUUGCUUUGAUGCCAAGGGAGAUGAAUCCAAAUAUUUCCCGAGCCUCUGCCCAGAAUAUCAAAUUGACGCAGACCAACAAGAAUUUCAUACUCUUUAUCAGCUCGGUGACAGUUUGUUGUCAGUGAAAACAAAUUGUUCUUGCUUAUUGUCUCGGGGCACGACAAUUAAUCACAGCAUUAAUAACAGAUCCAGCCAGUGGAUGACAAAAAGGCUUUUGGUCUGCUAAGUGCCUUCUAAAGACUCUGAGAAUUAAUGCAAAAUUGUGUGAAAUUAAAUGCCGCUUAUUAGUAGUAUACUAGGCGUAUACGCAAUGCCGGAAAUUAAACAUACGCCAAACGGCAACAGAAGGAUUGUGAGCCCCGGCUUAAAGCGGAAGUUAAUUGUUAUGCAGAAAACAUAAUGCGAACCAAGAGGGCUGGGUAGGGAACUGUCGGGUCGGCAAAGAGGCAGCCAAGAUGAUGCAAAGCAUAGCAAAACUUUAAUAUUUAAAUAUGAAAAUCUAUUUAUGUAAGACACACAGAGCUCUGGUCAAACACAAGGAAAACAAACACAAAAUGGAAAUUAUUAAAUAUGAGCCAUUAUUGGUUCAGGCUUGUGAAUACUCUAAAAGGAUAUUACAAACGAUAACUAAAAAAAGGAAAGCGCAAUUUAGAACAUCAAGUUUGCCAGACUGAUCGCAUUUUCCCACAAUAUUCCAAAACCAGAACUGCUUCCUCGUACCAAACGCUGGAAAAUGCAAAAUUCCCCAUGCCUGCAAUGCCAUGUCCCUUGCAGGAGGGCGCAUCUUUUUGGUGGCCACUGCGCGAUGCGAAAAUUUUAAUUUAUACAUUUUCAGCUGCAAUGGUGUGAGCGGGGUGUGCGUGUGACUUCCUGUUGCAAAAUGGAGUUUUGUGUAUGCGAGCGAGCAGAAGUUUGCACAACUUGUUUAUGAUUUCUCAUGUCAAAUACGCUGGUAAAAGUGCCUUGCAGAGGGCGUGUCAGGCAGAUGCCGUUGAAAUAAGUAUCCACAAGUGCGCUGCCUCUAUUUUGCACUAGAAAACUUUUUGAUUUACAAUCCGGGUGCGAGUCUACAAAUGUAUGAGAAAGUGUGCUGGUUUGUUUGUCAUGUUCCAUCUUGUAGAGCACACUUUAAAAAGGCGGAAGAGCAGUUUAUGUUUUCAUUUACGGAACUCUAUUGGACAAACUUCCUGUUAAAAACAUGAGCUUUAAGUGUUAGUUGGUUUCAGAUGUUAGUUCGCUAAAUGCAAGAUCUUAAUUUUUAGAUAACAAUAUUAUUAUUUUUAAUUAACCCAUCUCUUAGAGGAUUAAAAGUUCUCAUUUUCAAUGUAACUUUGCAACACCCUGUUACUUUAACAUUAAUACUUAAAAUAGCGCAAUAAAUUUAUAGUCUAGACAAUCAGUCAUGCAACACAA